AGGGAGCAAAGCUGUCGCUCGCCAGGCGUAGGCGGAACACGCGCCUCCCAUCGUCCGCCCAACAACAAACGUUCCAGAUUCCGAUCGUCCAACCAAUCAGCCACGCAGCCUACACUGCGCACAGCUACGCCAUGGCAUUGGCGACGCCGCUCCGCCACCUCCUCGCCGCGGCCCCCGACCCCGCCACCGGUGCGCCGCCGUCCCUGCAGGCGCAGCCAGCGCGCGCCUUCCCGCCCCACCGCCGCCUCCUUCUCCGCUCCAUCAGGCUCGUCGCGGCGCCGUCAUCGGAUGCCACGAGGCACGCGGGGGUCGCGGCGAGGGCGGCGGGCGGGGGCCGGCCGACGGUGCUGGUGACGGAGAAGCUGGGCGCGGCGGGGCUGGAGCUGCUGCGGGCGUUCGCCAACGUGGACUGCGCGUACGAGCUGACGGCGGAGGAGCUACGCGCCAAGGUGUCGCUGGUGGACGCGCUGGUGGUGCGCAGCGCCACGCGGGUGACGCGGGAGGUCUUCGAGGCCGCGCGCGGGCGCCUGCGCGUCGUGGGCCGCGCCGGCGUCGGCAUCGACAACGUCGACCUCCAGGCCGCCACCGAGGCCGGCUGCCUCGUCGUCAACGCGCCCACCGCCAACACCGUCGCCGCCGCCGAGCACGCCGUCGCGCUGCUCGCCGCCAUGGCCCGCAACGUCGCCCAGGCCGACGCCUCGCUCAAGGCCGGCAAAUGGCAGCGUAGCAAAUAUGUUGGUGUUUCCUUGGUUGGAAAGACGAUAGCUAUUAUGGGCUUCGGGAAGGUUGGCUCAGAAGUAGCUCGGCGCGCGAAAGGACUUGGAAUGGAUGUCAUUGCUCAUGAUCCAUACGCUCCCGUUGACAGAGCCCGGGCUAUCGGUGUGGAUCUUGUAUCGUUCGAUGAUGCCAUCUCUACUGCAGACUUCAUAUCACUGCAUAUGCCUCUAACACCGUCAACAACAAAAAUAUUCAACGAUGAGACUUUUGCAAAAAUGACGAAAGGAGUAAGGCUUAUCAAUGUUGCGAGGGGUGGAGUGGUCGAUGAAGAAGCAUUGCUGAGAGCACUUGAUAACGGGACUGUUGCACAGGCAGCACUCGAUGUGUUUUUUGAAGAGCCACCGCCAAAAGACAGCAAGUUAGUACACCAUGAAAAUGUCACGGUGACGCCGCACCUUGGAGCUAGCACAACAGAAGCACAGGAAGGCGUUGCCCUUGAAAUCGCAGAGGCUGUUAUCGGUGCGUUGAAAGGUGAACUUGCUGCCACUGCUGUCAAUGCCCCAAUGGUCUCUGCUGAGGUUUUAGCCGAGUUAUCCCCAUAUGUCAUCCUUGCUGAGAAGUUGGGACGUCUCGCCGUGCAACUCGUGGCUGGUGGCAGUGGGAUCAAGGCAGUCAAGAUUGUCUACUCAUCAGCUAGAGACCCGGAUGACCUGGACACAAGAAUUCUCCGUGCCAUGGUCACGAAAGGGAUCGUCGAACCCAUUUCAAGUGCAUUUGUUAACAUGGUGAAUGCUGACUAUGUUGCUAAGCAACGAGGGCUCCGCAUAAUCGAAGAGCAGAUUCUCCUCGACGGCUCCCCCGAGGUCCCUAUAAACUCCAUCCAGGUCCAGCUUGCCAAUGUGGAGUCCAAGUUCGCUGGCGCGUUGUCUGACGACGGCGACAUCAGGGUGGAGGGCAAGGUUAAGGAUGGCACGCCGCAUCUCACGCUCGUCGGCCCUUUCAGCGUCGACGUCAGCCUUGAGGGCAACCUGUUGCUGUGCCGGCAAGUCGACCAGCCGGGCAUCAUCGGCAAGGUGGGAUCGAUUCUUGGGACGAUGAACCUGAAUGUCAACUUUAUGAGCGUUGGCAGGAUUGCUCCUGGGAAGCAGGCCAUCAUGGCCAUUGGGAUUGAUGAGGAGCCUGACAAGGAAGCUCUCAAGUUGAUCGGGGAGACGCCGUCGGUACAGGAGUUUGUCUUUCUUAAGCUUUAGAGAAUGUAGGUUGAUUUCUACUCCUAUAUAACAUCUCCUGCUUUACUAGUAUGAUGAGUGGUUUUUUGCAAGCUUAUUUAGUUUUUAUGUAGAAUGAUAAUUUUCCGCCCACCUGCAGAAGCUGCUGGUAGAUACAUCUUACGAACAAAUGCGCAGAAUGUGAGGCCUGUUCUUGGGCCUGCUGUCCUACUUUUUGAUCGGAUGAUCUUACUGUUGCUAUGCCUUCGGAACUUUUUGGAUAGACAUAUCAUCCACACAAGUAAUUUAUGGCUUCAAAUUUCUCUGGAAGCUGAACCAAAGACCAGUGUUCUGAAACAAAUUGCAUGAUCUGAUAAUCAACUGUAAGUAGGCUCAGUUUCAUUCUAUUUAGCCAGCAUGUUUCGCAUUUGUGGUGUAGUUAAAUGAGACAUCACUGCAUUCGUGUCUCAGCGUUCUCACUGAUAACGUUCUCC
rnacentral:rRNA from 1 species